rnacentral:rRNA from 1 species
UACGUAGGGACCAAGCGUUGUUCGGAUUUACUGGGCGUAAAGGGCGCGUAGGCGGCGUGACAAGUCACUUGUGAAAUCUCCGGGCUUAACUCGGAACGGUCAGAUGAUACUGCUUUGCUAGAGUGCGGAAGGGGCAAUCGGAAUUCUCGGUGUAGCGGUGAAAUGCGUAGAUAUCGAGAGGAACACCUGAGGUGAAGACGGGUUGCUGGGCCGACACUGACGCUGACAGCGCGAAAGCCAGGGGAGCAAACGGG